GAGGGUGAUGCCUGCCCAAUGGUUGUAUCUAAAAGCAGUUGAUAAAAGUCGACCUCGUAAGGACAAUUGAAUGGCCGCGGUAACACUGACCGUGAUAAUGUAGCGUAAUCAAUAGCCAAUUAAUUGUUGGCCAGUAUGAAUGGCGCCACGAAGGCCCCACUGUCUUAAGGAAAUUCCCAGUGAAAUUGAAUUCGUAGUGAAGAUGCUACGUCCAAUUUGUUAGACGAAAAGACCCCGUUGAGCUUUACUGGGGCACUUACACGGCCCUCGGCCUUCCCGUGCCCGGGAACCGGCCGAAUUUAAAUGGGUGGUUUAGACUAUGUGGCAGCCCCCCGCCGGGGCAGAUGAAACCCCACUCCCCCAUGUCAAAGGGGCUAACCCCCCCCUUGGGGGGGACAGUGUAAGUAGGACAGUUUGGUUGGGGCGACCGCCUUUUAAAGAGUAACGAAGGUGCGCUUAAGGUGCGCAAUUAAUGACUGAAGCCUGACUGCGAGGGGGAUACCCCGAGCAGACACCCCCCAAGCCCGCCCGAGGGCGGCGGUGGGGUGG
rnacentral:rRNA from 2 species